AGAUUGAACGCUGGCGGCAUGCUUUACACAUGCAAGUCGAACGGUAACAGGCCGCAAGGUGCUGACGAGUGGCGAACGGGUGAGUAAUGUAUCGGAACGUGCCCAGUCGUGGGGGAUAACGGCAGUGAAAGCUGCGCUAAUACCGCAUACGAUCUAUGGAUGAAAGCGGGGGACCGUAAGGCCUCGCGCGAUUGGAGCGGCCGAUAUCAGAUUAGGUAGUUGGUGGGGUAAAGGCUCACCAAGCCAACGAUCUGUAGCUGGUCUGAGAGGACGACCAGCCACACUGGGACUGAGACACGGCCCAGACUCUACGGGAGCAGCAGUGGGAAUUUGGACAAGUGGGCGCGAAGCCUAGACUCCAGCAAUCGCCGCGUGACAGGUAAGAGGCCUUCGGUAGUAACUGUCGUUUA
rnacentral:rRNA from 1 species